CAGUCGCCGCGGGAAUACGAAGGGGGCUAGCGUUGCUCGGAAUUACUGGGCGUAAAGGGAGCGUAGGCGGAUCGUUAAGUUGGGGGUGAAAGCCCGGGGCUCAACCUCGGAACUGCCUUCAAUACUGGCGAUCUUGAGUAUGAGAGAGGUGUGUGGAACUCCGAGUGUAGAGGUGAAAUUCGUAGAUAUUCGGAAGAACACCAGUGGCGAAGGCGACACACUGGCUCAUUACUGACGCUGAGGCUCGAAAGCGUGGGGAGCAAACAGGAUUAGAUACCCCCGUAGUCCCUGUCUCUUAUAC
rnacentral:rRNA from 1 species